GGGGAAUAUUGCACAAUGGAGGAAACUCUGAUGCAGCAACGCCGCGUGAGUGAUGAAGGUCUUCGGAUUGUAAAGCUCUGUCAUCUGGGACGAUAAUGACGGUACCAGAUGAGGAAGCCACGGCUAACUACGUGCCAGCAGCCGCGGUAAUACGUAGGUGGCAAGCGUUGUCCGGAUUUACUGGGCGUAAAGGAUGUGUAGGCGGAUAUUUAAGUGAGAUGUGAAAUCCCCGGGCUUAACUUGGGGGCUGCAUUUCAAACUGGAUGUCUAGAGUGCAGGAGAGGAAAGCAGAAUUCCUAGUGUAGCGGUGAAAUGCGUAGAGAUUAGGAAGAAUACCAGUGGCGAAGGCGGCUUUCUGGACUGUAACUGACGCUGAGGCAUGAAAGCGUGGGGAGCAAAC
rnacentral:rRNA from 1 species